rnacentral:lncRNA from 1 species
GACUGAAUCUCACUAAAUUGCCCAGGCUGGGUUUGAAUUUGGGAUCUUCCUGCCUCAGUUUCCGAGAGUGCUGGGAUUACAGGCGCGCGCCACCACACCCUGUUUAAAAUCCCUUUUUAACUGUCCCAUUCCUUUCCCAAAGCUUCUGCUGUUUGGCACCUUUCUCCUCAGUGCUCCCCCGAAACACCCCUUCACACGCCCCGCCGCUGAGCCGCCUCCUUUAGGCUGGCGCGCGGUUCCUCCUGGCGCCCGGCAGGGAAACGAGCAGCGGAACAGUGCAACCCCUCUAGGGGGCCCUCCAAAGGCCCGGAGGUCCCCGGGAGGAAGCACCCUGUGUAACUCGGUUCCCGUGCGCGCUCGCACUGGGUCCUCCAGGCCGCUCCGCCGCGCAGGAAACGGCUGAGGCUUCCGUGACCCCACUGACGACCAGGACCCGGGUACUCCUUCCCCGACUUCGGUCUCUCGCCAGACCGUGCCCCUCUCAGCGCCUGCCCCGCAGGAGGACACCAGGGCUUCCCGCAGCCUGGGCACACGUUUCCACCACCCCCGGCCCUUUGUCCCUCCCGGACCGCCCCUCACUGCCGUCUCCAUGGCGCCCGACGACUCGGGAAGCGUCCGGGCCAGGGACUGUGCGUCUGGGUUAAAAGCUAGGCCCGGGCUGGGUGUGUGCGACCGAGCGUCCCACUCUCUCCCUCCCUUCCAGGGGACAGAGGCCAGGGGACGGACAGGGGCCGGGACAGUACACCGCAGCUGGCGUUCCCCGGUCUCCAGGACACGGGAAGGACGGGAGCCACCUUUGGAUGAGAUGAGCAGACCCUGGCCCAGGUCUAGUUGCUGUUUCAGACUCUGACACCCUAAAACAAUGCCAAGAGUAAAGAAAGGGAAAGGGAAAGCUAAAGGGGCUCCCCCGCCCAUCGUUCCGAUUCUUCAACGGUUCCUGAAAACCUAUGGAAAGCACUGUGCACGCUCCCAGACAUCAGUGUGUCCAGCCAUCAGAAGGGACCUGAAAAGCAGCAUUGACAGUGAGCAGAGCCUCAGGAGGGUGAGUGGAUGGGUAUCUGUCCUUACUCUUCUCAGAACGGGCUGACCCAUCUCACUUCCCAGGAGCACGGGUUCUCAGACCCCACACCCAGUGCUGGCUGUGUCACUGCCUUUGCAUCCUGACCCAGUGAAGUUCAA